AAGCUCGUAGUUGAAUUUCGGCGAUCAGUAGGUUGGUCAUACCUAUGGUAUGUACUGGCUUUACUGAUUCCUCCUUCUUGAUGAUCUGUAAUGUCAUUAAUUUGGUGUUGCAGGGAGUCAGGACUGUUACUUUGAAAAAAUUAGAGUGUUUAAAGCAGGCAUACGCUUGAAUACAUUAGCAUGGAAUAAUGAAAUAGGACGUUCGAACCUAUUUUGUUGGUUUCUAGGAUUGACGUAAUGAUUAAUAGGGAUAGUUGGGGGCAUUAGUAUUCAAUUGUCAGAGGUGAAAUUCUUGGAUUUAUUGAAGACUAACUACUGCGAAAGCAUUUGCCAAGGAUGUUUUCAUUAAUCAAGAACGAAAGUUAGGGGAUCGAAGACGAUCAGAUACCGUCGUAGUCUUAACCAUAAACUACGCCGACUAGGGAUCGGAUGAUGUUAUUUUUAAUGACUCAUUCGGCGCCUUACGGGAAACCAAAGUGUUUGGGUUCCGGGGGGAGUAUGGUCGCAAGGCAGAAACUUAAAGGAAUUGACGGAAGGGCACCACCAGGGGUGGAGCCUGCGGCUUAAUUUGACUCAACACGGGGAAA
rnacentral:rRNA from 1 species